UACGAAGGGUGCAAGCGUUAAUCGGAAUUACUGGGCGUAAAGCGCGCGUAGGCGGUUUGUUAAGUCAGAUGUGAAAUCCCCGGGCUCAACCUGGGAAUGGCAUUUGAGACUGGCAGGCUAGAGUGUGGUAGAGGUGAGUGGAAUUUCAGGUGUAGCGGUGAAAUGCGUAGAGAUCUGAAGGAACAUCAGUGGCGAAGGCGACUCACUGGGCCAUUACUGACGCUGAGGUGCGAAAGCGUGGGUAGCAAACAGG
rnacentral:rRNA from 1 species